CCUACGGGAGGCAGCAGUGGGGAAUAUUGCACAAUGGGGGAAACCCUGAUGCAGCGACGCCGCGUGCGUGAAGAAGUAUUUCGGUACGUAAAGCUCUAUCAGCAGGGAAGAAAAUGACGGUACCUGACUAAGAAGCCACGGCUAACUACGUGCCAGCAGCCGCGGUAAUACGUAGGGGGCAAGCGUUAUCCGGAUUUACUGGGUGUAAAGGGAGCGUAGACGGCAGCGCAAGUCUGGAGUGAAAUCCCAUGGCUUAACCAUGGAACUGCUUUGGAGACUGUGCAGCUAGAGUGCAGGAGAGGUAAGCGGAAUUCCUAGUGUAGCGGUGAAAUGCGUAGAUAUUAGGAGGAACACCAGUGGCGAAGGCGGCUUACUGGACUGUAACUGACGUUGAGGCUCGAAAGCGUGGGGAGCAAACAGGAUUAGAUACCCUUGUAGUC
rnacentral:rRNA from 1 species